GUAGCCCUGGUUUCCCAGCCCUGUCUCUUGCCCUAGGCCCCCAGAGUUGAGAUUGGUCCAGUCCUAAUCUUGAGUGCAGGGGGGGCACAGUUGCUACUUGUCAGUGCCUACUUGCAGGUCCUACAGUUUUUCAGGGGCCAUUCUUCAGGGGUUCACUAAGGUGAGAUCACACUUCCUCUUCAGUGGCUUCCUGUUUUUGCCAAACAAUGACCCUUUUGGGACCUGGUGCCAGCAGGCUAUAGCUGUUGCCAACGGCUUUGACUUCUUGCAUAAGAGGAAGAAAUAUUCUGGUUCCCAGGGAUGUGGUUGGCCUCACACCCAGACAUGGCUUUGAAUUCAGUCAUCCCUUCUGUCCUGGACACACACGUGAGCAAGUGCUGCCCUAUAGAAGAGCAUCGGCUGAGAGGGCAGAGCCAACGGGACUCUCAUCUGAGCUCUGCACUGUGUGGAUGCUGUGCAGGACUUCUUUCUCUCCUCCAGAGGGUCUGUGCCUGCUGUGCCUGCUGUGUCCGGCCUGCGAACCACAGGCACAAUUUAUUCUCAGAGUCAGAACUGCCCAUCUCCCUGCCUGGUUUGCUGUUCCCAGCAUGACCUGGCUACAUGCCUAAGGCAGGGGAGUGACUUGGCAAGACCUGGUUCCCCAGAACCUCUAGGAUUGUUUUCAGGCCUGUAUUGCUGUAGAGAUAAUAAGGAAGUCCUCAAAGGCUGUCAUGGGGUCCUGUCAUAACUUCUCCCAGGGCAGGCUAUUCCUUUGGGCCUGGGGGUCUGGGGAUCAUAGCAUUCCUGCUAAGGGUCAUGGGGGGAAGCGACCUGGCCUCAGGCUUCUCUACCUACCCUCAGCUGGGCCUAGAAAUGUGACUUAGGCUGUGGAGUAGAAGAUACCUAAGAGGCAGAGGCUGUUCUGAUGGGCCUUAGGGCUUCUGGCAGUCCCCUGGGGACUCCCUCUUGAUUCAGCAGCAAGAACAGGCUAGGAGGAGGGACCCUCGUCCAAUAUUGCUAUCGUUUGCCUUCCCACAAAAGCAGAUUGUGAGUCUGCUAUGACUCAAUGUGAAUCUGCUCAUCUCAGUGCAGGAGGCCCUGGGUUCUCUCUCCAGCACUUCAUAAACUGGAUGUGGUGGCCCACGCCUGUAAGCCCAUUAUCAAGAAGAUGGAGACAGGAAGAUCAGUAGUUCAAGGUCACCCUUGGCUACAUAGAAAAUUCAAGAAAGCCUGUGCUGUAUUGAGUUCUGUGUCAAUAUCAAACAAACGAAUAAACAAUGCCCCCGCCCACCUCUGUGAAACAAGAGCUCCGUGCUGCCAGUUGCUGUGAGGCAAGAGUAAGAAUGUCAGGAGAGGGGACAGCGAAGGAAAAGGCUGAUACCACAGUGUGUUUUACCAGUAUCUACUGUAGAUAAGGGAGCUGCGUUCCCUCACCACCCGCGAAAGCCCCAGAAUGCCUUCUAGAAUCAUCACUACCACUAGAAACUGGGAAUGGACCUGCUGACUCCAGCCUCCUCCAGAUGAGGGUCUGUAGACAUCUAGGCUAUGUUGCCUACACAACUUCAUUCCCAAAAUACCAAAGCAUCCUGAAGCACCUUUGAAAACCUUCAGGACAUGGUAAGGGUAGAAUGCUAACUUUGUGGACUGAACCUGAGCCGGUAACGAAUUCUGCUACGGCUUAGAUCCAAUGCAGACUGAGGAAGUUGUACACGAGCAUCCUCAAUGAGUCAGCCCGAGAAGAUGGCUGGAGUUCAGCUGAGCAUGAAUGUGGGGUGCUGAGGGAGAGGCUGUGCUCAGAGUUGGACACGCAUGGGCUUUGCUGUCAGACCUCCUGAGUUCAAACCUUGCUCAGCCUUGAUCAGCCUGUAGCACUCUGGAGCUAUACUGUCCUCAACUAGAACAGAAGGAUGGUAUCUCUACCGUAUAGAAAUGUUUACGAGGGGCUGGGGGGAUACCUCAGUUAGUAAAGUGCUUGUUUGCUGUGCAAACACAAGGGUCUUCAGACUCCACAUCAAAAACCCCACAUCAAAAAGCUAGGUGUGGUGGCAUGUGCUUCUAGCCCCAGAGCUGCGGACAGACAGAUCCCUGAGGCUUGCUGGCCAUCCAGCCUAGACUGAAUGAGUCUCAGGCCCACAAAAGACUGUCUCAAAACAGCUAGAGAAAUAUACCAGAGCAUGACUUUUGGACAGCUCGACCAGCACUUGCACCCACGUGUACAAUAUGAAGUUGUUCAUACAUCUUCCCAAAUAAAUGUUUAGGAGAAUCGAGAAUAUCCCGAGAAGUUAACAUAUCUGACAGGGUCUGACGUUGGAUGCCACUAAGGUCAGUUCCUUAGCUCUCCUGUGAGGUUGACUCCCUCGACUCUUCCUCAUUUCCUUUCUCAACCAGGCCCACUCCCACCUCCUCAGAGCCCAGUACCUAUUUCAUCUGUGUGACCCAGCAGCCCUGGUCACCAGCCUGUGCUCCAGCUUUCUCCUGGUCCCAGCCUGGCAGAAGUCAGUGCCAUCCUUCCCCCUCCUGGGGGCCUGUCCUCUGGGUCUGGGCUUGUCUGUUGGGGGGUGAGUCCUACUCAUCCCCUCAGUUUCAUUUGUUGCAGGCCUAACCCCAGAAACUGGGUCACUGCAGACGGGGACUGGUUAAAAUGGCUGGUGCAGUUUUAAAAUGUGGACAGAAGACACAUAUAUCAGAAGGCCAUGUGUAGAUUGGAGCUAUUUCACCACAAGUUAGAACCUUCCAGAACCUGGAAGACAGGAAUAGAUCCCUUCUAAUAUUCAGAGGGUGCAAACCUUGGCUAAUUCCUUGAUCUCAAACUUUGUCAGCCUUCAGCUUUAGGAGCUGAGCAGUUUGUUAUUUUGUUACCAUCCUAGCCAAGAAAGUUUUUUCUGUUGCAAAUACAAUGCUUUCUCUCCAUUUGUAUCCAGCCUUUGUACUCUGUUCCUGUACUGAGACAUCUCCUUGCUGGAGUGGAGAGCUUGGAGGUGGAGCCUGAGCCACUGCUGUGACUGUGUCUUUGGCCUCAGAGCAGAGCCAGCCCUAGGAAAGCACUAGGGAAGAGGGGGCUGAAGCUGUCCAGACACAGGCAGUGUUGAUGCUGACUGUGGAUGGCCAGGAAGGCUGAGACAGGCAGCACUGAGAAUGGCAGACAUGGAAAAGACUGGAGAUAGUGUGAGCAGCCCACGGGCAGCCGGGGUGUAGAUCCUGUAGUGGUAAGAAGGGUGGUCUGAGGCAUACGGCUGGGGAACUUAAGGGUACAUUCUACCGGGCAACUAUGUGGCAGUGGGAGCUGUGGAUUGGGGGAACCAUGGUGGGGUUGUGGGAAUCAGAUAGACCAUAGUGAGGUCCUAUUACAUAAAACAGAGAGAGCAUAGUGAGGCCAGGCAAGACCACCCGAGUGCAGUCCCAGGUGAGAGGCACAGGCUAGAUCGCUUAUGAGCAUGGGCUGGGAGACAAACUGAGGAAGAAAUGGCAGCAACCUAGGGUCGAUGCAGCCUGGCAUGCACAAAGCCCUGGGUCUGAUCCCCAGCACCCCAAUCUGGGAUAGUGUACACACACAGUAAUCUCAGGACUUGGGAAUGCUGGAAGGAAAAUUAGAAAUUCUGUGUCAUCUUUGGGCACAUAGCCAGUUCAAGGCCGACUGGAAUAACUUGAGACCCUGCCUCGAAAGGGCAGUUUGAUUACUGGUUGAUGUGUAGCUAUUUUCCUUUAAAAUAAAAACUGUAUCACAUUUA